AUUGAACGCUGGCGGCAUGCUUUACACAUGCCAGUCGAACGGUAACAGGCCGCAAGGUGCUGACGAGUGGCGCACGGGUGAGUAAUGCAUCGGAACGUGCCCAGUCGUGGGGGAUAACUACUCGAAAGAGUAGCUAAUACCGCAUACGAUCUAUGGAUGAAAGCGGGGGACCGUAAGGCCCCGCGCGAUUGGAGCGGCCGAUGUCAGAUUAGGUAGUUGGUGGGGUAAAGGCUCACCAAGCCAACGAUCUGUAGCUGGUCUGAGAGGACGACCAGCCACACUGGGACUGAGACACGGCCCAGACUCCUACGGGAGGCAGCAGUGGGGAAUUUUGGACAAUGGGCGCAAGCCUGAUCCAGCAAUGCCGCGUGCAGGAAGAAGGCCUUCGGGUUGUAAACUGCUUUUGUACGGAACGAAACGGCUCUGGUUAAUACCCGGGGCUAAUGACGGUACCGUAAGAAUAAGCACCGGCUAACUACGUG
rnacentral:rRNA from 1 species